AUAAAGUCAAAAUUUUUUAUAAAAUUUACUGCUAAUGGUCAUAGAUACAGAAAACUCACUGAUAGCUAAAUAUGAAAAGUCAUAGACUAAGAAGUGUCAAUAUGCUACAAGAUAAUCAGAACUAAACAAAUUCAAAGAAUUGCUUAACGUUAUAAGGUCCAAUGACAUUUGGUGCUCCACUCCAAAAUAGUUGGGCAAGUUGUUGGUUUGUCUUUUGAGUAUGAUGUCCUCCAAAAAGCACAUAGUCAUUACGGUUGCUACAAAGAUUGUAGGUUUGUGUUCCAUUGCUUCCUCCUCCACAAUUCCUGCCAUUGUCCAAGCCACUGCCACAACAUAUAACUUCUCCUACUUUGAAGCGUUCAGAACAUAAAAAUUCAAAAUUAUGAUAAGAUUCAUAAGGACAAUUAUGGCAGAACCAAUAUAAGUUACUGGAAGUGAUAUAGCAUACCAUAUUUAGUUGGAUUCUUUAUUCUAUUAGCAAGAGCGUGAUAAUAGUAAACAAUUGAAUACUUGAAUCCAGGUAACCUGCUCUGCAGCUUUUUCAAGGCAACAGAUAAAGCUUUGUUGUGUUGAUUUGCAUGCUUUGAGAAGCUCUUUACACAGCUACCAUUCAAUUCAGGGCGCAUUGCUUUAAUUGUUGGAUAGCAACCCAAUGGUCCAACAUUCUGGAUUGCUAUUUUUCUUAAUCCAAUUUCAUACAGUUCCUGCAGAAAGAACAAUUGAAAAGGAAAAAAAAAAAAAAAAAUACUACAAGCUAAACAUCUUCAGAGAAAAAUACAUGUAGAAUAGAAUUAUCUCCAGUACAAAAUGCUCCGAAGAAUCAACUUAUAGAGCGAAGCUCUGAUCAGUAUGAUAAACACAUUGGAAUUUUAGACAUCUUUCUUUUUAAGGGUUUCUCAGAGCUGCCAACCUCUUUUCAAGCUCAUCAAUGCCCGAACUGCGGACAUCCUCUUCAUUCUUCCCCGCAAUUUUACCUUUUGGCACUGUUGACAACUGUGAGGCAACAUCAACACCAAUUUCAUCUAGCACUUGAUUCGUCAACUCAUCAGUUUCUUCUUCAGCCUCAUCAUCAUCCAAGGCAUCAUCUAUGGCUUCUGACAUCAUUUCUGUCGUCAUAUCCAUCUGCGCUGAUUGCCUCUGAAAUUCUCUUAUAACCUGUGCUUGCUUUGCGGGAGCCAUUUGCUUAUUCAUAGAUGCCAUUGCCUUUGUGCCACCUUUCAAACCAACAGCAACUGAAGAUUGGGCAUGCAUUGCCUGUGUAUGAGUAGCUAUGCCUCUCAUUUGAGCACGACUACCUUGUAAGCUAGCUAUUUGUUGCCUAAGCCUGACCAGUUGCCGGGCUAGAAUUUUAGUUGCUGCCUCAUUUCCUGUCUUAGCUGUUCUUUUUAUCUCAGCGACAAGCUUCUUUUCCUCUGAUUGGAGUGCCCCGAUUUCCUUCUCUAUACCUCUAGUAGCAUGUUGCAUUUCUCUCUUGCUCUCUCGAAGAGCCUCUCUGGGAUUAGGUUUCUUGUUGAAGAUGUUCAUUCUACUUUUUUAUUUUUUUGAGCUGCAAUACACUUGAGAGGUUUCUCAAGCGAGACGAAGAGAGGCGGAUGAACAGAAGAAAGAGCUCUUUGUUUUUGGCUCGAAAAUGGAAUUCGGUGCCCAGAGAUUUUGC
rnacentral:misc_RNA from 1 species